rnacentral:lncRNA from 1 species
GGGGGGAUUUGUGAAUGGGGGGGUGUGAAUGGGGGGGUGUGAAUGGGGGCAGGGAUUUGUGAAUGGAGGGGGAGUGAGAAUGGGGGGGGAAUGGGAAGGAGGUGAAUGGGGGGGGAAUGUGAAUGGGGGGGAGAGAGGGAGGGAAUGUGAAUGGGGGGGAGGGAAUUGUGAAUGGGAGGGAGGGGGAGGGGGGAAUUGUGGGUGGGGGGGAGGAAGGGGGGGGUGGAAUUGUGAAUGGGGGUGGUGGGAGAGGGAGGAAUCGUGAAUGGAAUGUGAGCGGGGAAGGAAAAAGUGAAUGGAGGGAGACGGGAACAGAAAGCAGUUCUGAAUGGAAUGGAAUGGAAUGGAAUGGGGUGGGGUGGGGGUGGGGAGGGGUGGGGGUCCUGGCAGCUCACAGAGGUGGGAGGGGGGGGUUGGAAAAGUCCUGGCAGCUCACAAAGGAAUGGGGGUGUUGGGAAGGAAAGGUCCUGAAAGGUCACAGAGCCACGGGGUGGGUGGGUGGGGUGGGAAAGGUCCUGACAGAUCACAGAGAUGUGGAAUGAAUGGGUUGGGAUGGAAAGGUCCUUACAGAUCACAGAGCUAUGGGGUGGUUGGGUUGGGAUGGAAAGGUCCUGACAGGUCACAGAGCUAUGGGGUGGUUGGGAUGGGAUGGAAAGGUCCUGACAGGUCACAAAGGCAUUGGACUGUUGGAUUGGGAUGGAAAGGUCCUUACAGAUCACAGAGAUGCGGGAUGAAUGAAUUGGGAUGGAAAGGUCCUUACAGAUCACAGACUAUGGGAUGGUUGGGUUGGAAAGGUCCUGGCUGGUCACAGAGAUGUGGAAUGAAUGGGUUGGGAUGGAAAGGUCCUGACAGAUCACAGAGUUAUGGGAUGGUUGGAUUGGGUUGGAAAGGUCCUUACAGACCACAGAGAUGUGGGAUGGUUGGAUUGGGAAGGUCCUGGCAGGUCACAGAGAUGUGGGAUGAAUGGGUUGGGAUAGAAAGGGUCCUGACAGAUCACAGAGCUAUGGGGUGGUUGGGUUGGAUUAGAAAGGUCCUAACAGAUCACAAAGGCAUUGGACAGUUGGGUUGGGAUGGAAAGGUCCUUACAGAUCACAGAGCCAUUGGAUGGUUGGGUUGGGUUGGAAAGGUCCUAACAGGUCACAGAGAUGUGGGAUGGAUGGGUUGGGAUGGAAAGGUCCUGACAGAUCACAGAGAUG